GUGCCAGCCGCCGCGGUAAUACGUAGGGGGCAAGCGUUGUCCGGAAUUAUUGGGCGUAAAGCGCGCGCAGGCGGUGAGUUAAGUCUGAUGUGAAAGGCCAAGGCUCAACCUUGGUAUGCAUUGGAAACUGGCUGACUUGAGUGCAGGAGAGGAGAGUGGAAUUCCACGUGUAGCGGUGAAAUGCGUAGAGAUGUGGAGGAACACCAGUGGCGAAGGCGGCUCUCUGGCCUGUAACUGACGCUGAGGCGCGAAAGCGUGGGGAGCAAACAGGAUUAGAUACCCUGGUAGUCC
rnacentral:rRNA from 1 species